GGAUGUAAAAGUCGUAACAAGGUUUCCGUAGGUGAACCUGCGGAAGGAUCAUUAUCGAAAUACUUAUUUAGCGUUCCGUGCUAUCCCAUUGUUUUAUUUACCCUGUUGCUUCCACUGGAUGAGUUUCCAUACCUUGUGUUUGAGAAACUUUGGCUUGUGUAAGAUUCAUUCACGGCCAGCCAGUGAGAAGACCAUUUACAAAACCCUGUUAAGAACCAAUUGUCUGAAUAUUUUACUCCAAUGAAAUAAAACUUUCAACAACGGAUCUCUAGGCUCUU
rnacentral:misc_RNA from 1 species